rnacentral:lncRNA from 1 species
UUUAGAACAAGUCAUGUCCAUCAGAUUUUCUCAACUGCAAUUGCCUUUCCAAUGUGAAUCUGUCCUAUCCAGCAUGUGGAUUUAUUUAUGUUUAAAUUAGGGAGAGAAAAUAUGCUGACGCAACAGGCCAUGGGUUGGAACAGAAAAAAGACAGAGAACCUCCACAAAGCUUUGGCCCAGAGAUACGUCACAGUAAGCUCAUUGACAAAGAUCUGAUGAACACUUUUUUUUACUGGAAGAUGGCAUGAAAUUGUUUUACCUUUUUUUUUGUGUUUUCAAGAUCUCAGAGAGGGCAAAACUGGAAGCUGCCAGCCUCAGUGACUUUCAGCAAAAGCAAAACCUCGCUCAGCAAACAAUAGAGCAGUGGGUGUUUGAUGUCCAGCAAUGGGCAGUCACAGGUAAAUCAAGCACAUUACAACAACAACUAUUCAAACAUAAAGUGGAUAUAAAUUGGAAAAUGAAAUGAUCACUGACUGUCUUACCUAUUUAGAUCGAGUCUACACACAAGGGUGUACAGAGGACCUCAGGGCAGAAAUAGAGACCAUCACAGUAACCCUCCUACGCAAGAAGCAGGACCUCUAUCGUCAGCAUGAUAGCAACCAGACAAGACACAGCAAGCGAAGAAAACUUAGAGAUUUAAAAAAAAAACUAAGAGAAAAGGUCUUGCAGUACAACGCAUCUGAAGAAGAUGAAAUUGAUGAGGACUUGGCCUGCAAUUUGACGGAGGGCUACAUCCUGCCAUGGGAGAGAAGUGAAGAUGGCCACUCAUUCAGAUUGAAAAGGUCACUCUUUGACCGAAUUAUGCUACUUAAACGGUAUGAGGAGGAGCAGAGCAUCCUCAUCAAAGAAAUGACACAGCACAUCAUGUCAUUAAGGAAGGAGAUAAAGGGAGUGGAGAAACUCAAAGACAACAUUGGGAUGUUCGAUUUUGGUGACAUGUCAGAGGACGCUGCAAAAGGUUUCGAAAGUGUCCUCAUGCGGAGGUCCACCGAACUGGAGAAUUCAUGCCAACAAGCUGUGAGCUCAUACAGUGCUAUAGUUGAUGAGUUAGAGAUUGAAGACACCGAACAAAGGGUGGAUUCUGAGGGUGAAAAUGGCUUCAGUAGUCCGGAGUCAGAGGAAGAGGAUUAGGAAGGAAAAUAUCAGGGGGGUUUAUUUUUGCUUUCUGUUAACUUUGUUCUACUUAUAUUUUCCCUCUGUAUUGUAUCCCUAUGUAUUGUUCCCUUAAAUUAGAAAAUAAUAAAUUUUAGCAUAUUCACAGUACCCUGAACUAAGAGCCCAACUUGUUAAUUAAUCAUAAUCAAAGUAGGGUAUAUUUGUUGCUAUAUUUGUUGGCACUCUACGGCUGACUGAAUGUUCAUGCAUUGGUAAUCUAUAAUAAGUAACAAUAAAUACAAU